CCUACGGGCGGCAGCAGUGAGGAAUAUUGGUCAAUGGACGAGAGUCUGAACCAGCCAAGUAGCGUGAAGGAUGACUGCCCUAUGGGUUGUAAACUUCUUUUAUAUGGGAAUAAAAUGUUCCACGUGUGGGAUUUUGUAUGUACCAUAUGAAUAAGGAUCGGCUAACUCCGUGCCAGCAGCCGCGGUAAUACGGAGGAUCCGAGCGUUAUCCGGAUUUAUUGGGUUUAAAGGGAGCGUAGGUGGAUUGUUAAGUCAGUUGUGAAAGUUUGCGGCUCAACCGUAAAAUUGCAGUUGAAACUGGCAGUCUUGAGUAGAGUAGAGGUGGGCGGAAUUCGUGGUGUAGCGGUGAAAUGCUUAGAUAUCACGAAGAACUCAGAUUGCGAAGGCAGUUCACUGGACUGCAACUGACACUGAGGCUCGAAAGUGUGGGUAUCAAACAGGAUUAGAUACCCCAGUAGUC
rnacentral:rRNA from 1 species